rnacentral:rRNA from 1 species
GAUGAACGCUGGCGGCGUGCCUAAUACAUGCAAGUCGAGCGAACGGACGAGAAGCUUGCUUCUCUGAUGUUAGCGGCGGACGGGUGAGUAACACGUGGAUAACCUACCUAUAAGACUGGGAUAACUUCGGGAAACCGGAGCUAAUACCGGAUGAUAUUUUGAACCGCAUGGUUCAAAAGUGAAAGACGGUCUUGCUGUCACUUAUAGAUGGAUCCGCGCUGCAUUAGCUAGUUGGUAAGGUAACGGCUUACCAAGGCAACGAUGCAUAGCCGACCUGAGAGGGUGAUCGGCCACACUGGAACUGAGACACGGUCCAGACUCCUACGGGAGGCAGCAGUAGGGAAUCUUCCGCAAUGGGCGAAAGCCUGACGGAGCAACGCCGCGUGAGUGAUGAAGGUCUUCGUAUCGUAAAACUCUGUUAUUAGGGAAGAACAUAUGUGUAAGUAACUGUGCACAUCUUGACGGUACCUAAUCAGAAAGCCACGGCUAACUACGUG